rnacentral:rRNA from 1 species
GUCCUAGCUGUAAACGGUGCACGUUUGCUGUAAGUGGAAUCGACCCCACUUGUGGCGUAGCCAACGCGAUAAACGUGCCGCCUGGGAAGUACGGUCGCAAGAUUAAAACUCAAAGAAAUUGACGGGGCCUGCACAAGCGGUGGAGUAUGUGGCUUAAUUCGAUGCAACGCGAAGAACCUUACCUGGCCUUGACAUGCAAGUAGUAGAAGGAUGAAAGUCUGACGAGGUAGCAAUACCAGCUUGCACAGGUGCUGCAUGGCUGUCGU